CCAGCUGACCACACUGUCCUGCAAGUGCCUGAUCCUGUCAGCUCUUGUAAGCUAAACAGCAUUGGCUGUGGUUAGUACUUGGAUAGGAGACUACCUUGCAAGACAAGGGUUUACUAGA
rnacentral:rRNA from 12 species